rnacentral:misc_RNA from 1 species
ACGGUUUCUCAUUUCAGUUUAACAUGUUCGACCGGUUUAUCGUCGCGUUUCUGUUCGGCCUCGCCGCAGGCAACCCGUCAUCAGACGACAACGCUCCAUCCAGCCUUGUCGCCGAUGCGCCGGAAUCGCUGGAGUACUUGAAAAGAUACGGAUAUCUGAACAAAGACGGGCCAAGCGGAGAAGUAGCGGCUGCUUCUUUGUACAGCAUGAAAUCGGUGGAAAGCGCACUUAAACAAGCGCAGAAGUUCGGAGGACUGCCACAAACCGGAAUACUCGACGAGGCGACAAAGAAGUUAUUCGAGACUCGUCGGUGCGGCUUACCUGACGUCGAGCGGAACGCGACGCACCAAGGGAGAAGGAGGAAAAGGUUCAUCCUGACAUCGCAAUCUUGGAAAAAAAGACGUCUUACUUAUUUUUUGACCAAUUGGUCGCCCAAACUCACCAGAAGCGGUGUGAUGACCGAGUUGAGGAAAGCAUUCGACGCCUGGUCAAAAUAUUCCAGGCUUGUUUUCACCGAAAGCAGGACUCCAAGCGAGGCUGACAUAAACAUCGGUUUCUAUCGUGGCCAUCACGGAGAUAAUACUCCGUUUGACGGGAAUGGAAACGUCUUGGCACACGCCUUUUAUCCGAACGACGGUCUCGGAGGUGACAUACAUUUCGACGAUGACGAGGAUUGGACUAUAAACCCUGGAGAGUUCGACGAAGGUGUUGAUUUUUCUGCCGUGGCCCUCCACGAACUCGGCCAUUCCCUCGGCCUGUCCCAUUCUCCUGAACAAGGAUCGAUCAUGAACCCAUAUUACAAGGCGAAAAAGGAGCUCGGCUACGACGACAUACUCGCAAUGCACGAGUUGUACAUUUCCAGGAGGUUGGAAGAGGAAGGUGACAACAGUGACCAUCAGGAUGACGACGGGGCCACUCGGGAACCGGAAGUCCCAAACUUGCCCACCACUCCACGAUACACUGAGCGGCCUCAUUUCCCGGAUCGUCCUCAUGACCGGCCUCGUUAUCCGCAUUAUCCCCGUUUUCCGCAUUAUCCGCACUACCACCAUCCUUUUCACCACCACCACAGCCACCAUGACCAUCCAAGGCCUACGAGGCCGACAACGGAAGAAACAAGACCGACCUACGAAUACACGACUGAGCCCACUAGAAAAACUACGAACUAUUUUGAGGUGACUUACGAAGGGGACGACGAGUCGGUCGAGAGGCACAAAGAUCAUGAUCAUACACAUGGCAUCCCUCCGAGAGAAGAGCCGUGCAUGGAUGCGCCUUCUGAAGAAGACGGCUGUCGUGGCGGAUUCGACACUGUCGCCUUUUUCAGAGGAGAACUGUUCGUCAUCAAAAACAAGAUGCUAUGGCGGCUAUCCGAACCAGGGAAAGUUUUAGACGGAUAUCCUUUGGAUUUUCACAGGCUCUUUAGCUCUCUGCCGAAAUCUUUGGAAAAGAUUGACGCCAUUUAUGAAAGGAGUGAAGACUCGAGCAUCAUGAUAUUUUCAGGGAAACGUUAUUGGAUAUACGACGGAUUUGAAUUUCUGGAAGGCAGCCCGCGGCCCAUAACCGACUACGGCCUACCGGAAGAAGUCGACAGUGUUGAUGCCGUCUUGUCUGGCGGUAACUCCGAGGUGUUCGUUUUCAAUUUUUGACCAUGUUUCGAUUAUGUAAGAGUUUGGUCGCUUUCACAUUCUGGUGCUGGCUCAGGCGAGCCUGGUGUUUGGCGGCAAAUCUUUGUAUUUCCGCCGUGACUUCAAGGAUCUUAAGAUCCCUAUUGUUUGUACGAUUUUGAUAUUGCUGUGUUUGGUACAACCCCAUAAUGCUGAGUGAUCAGAAUUUAGACCAAAAAGUGACAGGUUUUGGACGUUCAACGAGACGACGAAAUCGCCUGUUUCUAAAAACCCAAAGCCUUUGGCAUUGUUUAAAAGCUUACCCGAUAA